rnacentral:rRNA from 1 species
AGUGAGGAAUAUUGCACAAUGGACGAAAGUCUGAUGCAGCCAUGCCGCGUGCAGGACGACGGCCCUACGGGUUGUAAACUGCUUUUAUACAGGAAGAAACCCCUUUACGUGUAAAGGGCUGACGGUACUGUAAGAAUAAGGACCGGCUAACUCCGUGCCAGCAGCCGCGGUAAUACGGAGGGUCCGAGCGUUAUCCGGAUUUAUUGGGUUUAAAGGGUGCGUAGGCGGAACUUUAAGUCAGUGGUGAAAUCCUACAGCUCAACUGUAGAAUUGCCAUUGAUACUGAUGUUCUUGAAUAUAGCUGAAGUGGGCGGAAUGUGUCAUGUAGCGGUGAAAUGCAUAGAUAUGACACAGAACACCAAUUGCGAAGGCAGCUCACUAAACUAUUAUUGACGCUGAGGCACGAAAGCGUGGGGAGCGAACAGGAUUAGAUACCCUGGUAGUCCACGCCGUAAACGAUGAUAACUCGAUGCUGGCGAUAUACGGUCAGUGUCUGAGCGAAAGCAUUAA